UAUAUGAAAAUCUAUUCAAGUCCUUAUUUACUGAAAUGGAGGGCAGGCAAAUAUAGUAAUAGAUAUACUAGUAUUGUACAGGGCACAGUAGAAAUAAUGGAUUGUUUUGAAAUAGUUAUAACAAACCAAAAGUAAAAAAGAAUACUUUCUUGAAAGACUUGAAACUAUGUGACUCGAGUGAUGUCUCAAAUAUUAAUAUGAAAUGCAUUAUUUUAAUUGUGCUAUCAGAUGAGAUCUUGCUUGACCUGCUCAAUUCCGAAUUGAGAUGAUAAGCCUUUUAUGGGGUUUCUAAUCGAAAGCAUAAUUACUAUGUUGUAGGCCCUCAAAAAAACUCACGAUUUCAAGCUAGCAAUCUGUAAUGAAAUAUCACAUAACUAUUAUAAUAUAAAGUAUCACUCACUUUCAUACAAGUUAAUCAUAUUUCUAUGAAAAUCGAGUAAGUUUAGAAAUUAGUUAAUUGUAUGUUUUCUAGUAUUUCCAGAAGUUUCUAAUGGCUUCUUGGUCUUGGCUUUCUAAAACAAUGAGACUAAUAAAAAUUGACAUAAUUCUAGUGGCGUUUGUCACAUAUCAAGGCUGCUGACCUUAUCAAUUCCAUUUCCCUGCUAAUUGAUUGGCUAGCAAUCGAUUACUGUAAUAAUUAUAAUAUUAUCAAUAUGACUUCAUAUCUGCCAUUCAUUUUGCAUUGACCACUCCAACCACCUUUGGUGAAGAAUAGGCCUACAGUCGUCAUUCGGUCACUGAGAACGUCAGUCUGUCACUACUAUGAUUCCGCUCGUUCAAUGUGCAAACAAACAGUUCUUCUAAUUACAGUACUUUAGAUGGCAAACACGCGAGUAGGCAGUCGCAAAUAAGGAAGGAAUGCUGCACGAUUUUCUUUCCACUUUCCCACUCAAUUCCUAGUUUCCCGAAUCGCACCCUUUAGGGAGAGAACAUGUGGCUAUAUAAUAUUACUCUCUGUCUUCGUCCACUCAUCUAUCAUUCGUGCCAACUGAUAUCCCUCCUCUCUUUAUUUCAUCCCUAAUUGACUCCCGUUCUCCAAUUUUCAGACAAAGCUCGACAUUUUUUGGCGGCUUCUUUUUUUCAUUAUAAGAUCUGCAAUUGUUAGGAUAACGUUCUACAUAAUAUACUCCCUCUUUCUCGUAUGUUGGGAUUCCCUCUUUUAAAGAACUGUUUUUCAAUACUGUUAUUUACUUUUGAAAACGAGCGAGCCUUUUUAAAAAGGAAAUUACUGCUCUGCCAUCUGACUCACUGAUCGGAACGUGUUUGUCGACAGGACAGCUUGCUAUCUGUUGACUCGAGUUACUUGUCGCUGAUUGUCGCUGACCAACUGUUUUGCGCUGUUCGUGAUUGCUUCACCCUCUCUGUCUCUCCCCCCCCCCUUCUUAUGAUCAAACACCGGCCGUCAAACGCUCAGAUUGGGUGCUCGUCGCAGACUCUGGCAAAAACUUAAUUAAGCCUUUGUUCUGAUUGAUGGAAAGAUUUUAAACAAAUAUGAUGGGACGCUCCAGUUCAGCAAUAUUACUCAGUUUUGUCAAAUCUGUUGCAAGAAACACAGAAAUCUCUCGUUGCAGAAAUGUGUCCCUCCAGCUAAUAAAAAGUACAAAAAGCUUUUAUCGAUUCAAUGAAAUAUAUAUAUAUAUAUAUAUAUAUGUAUAUAUAUUCUAUUUACUCCUUCCUUUGCCAAUAUAAAGCUCAUACAACUAUGAAUGAGAAUGAUCUAUAACUCCUAUAAUAUCCAUAGACGUUUCCUCCUAGAUUUUCCUCUCCUGAAAGUUGAGUGAGUUUUCUUCUUAUUCAAUGCUGUUUGGUGCUACUGAAAAAAAAACUAAUUUUCAAAGAACAUGAAAGUCAUGUUGAUAUUCAUGUCAACAGCAUGUUGAUACUUGUUCAAUUCAGUUGAUUGGUGGAGAUCUUUUAAAUAUAGUACUGGAGAUUCCAGUUGGUUUUUUGAAUAAGUUAACUGAUAAUUUGACAUAUAUUUUUAUUCAAUCAUUAUUUUACUGAUCAAUACUACCUUAUGUGUUAUCUUAUCCGUUCCUUCUAUUUUAAUGUUAGUUUUUGACGUUUUUUAUUGACAAUUUAUUGAUAUAAGUUCAUUGUCUAAUUACUUAUCUAUUGUAUUUUUCACUUAGCUGUUUUAUAUAUAGUUAUUAUUCAUAAAGUGAUUGUUGUUUAUGUGAAGGUCGUUCAUAACGUUAUAAUGGCUGUCCAUGUCUAAAUAGUUGGACAUGAUCAUUUUAUUUUUAAGAUAAUUUUAUAAAAAUUGAGUAUUUUCAGUAUUAUAUCCAUGUGCCAAAAGCUUUUAUUUUUAGUACUUGAACACGUGAAAAUGUUUGAGUUUGUAUAAACUUUGUUUUAAAAGUGGCAAUUCUAGUACUAUGUAUUAUGUAAUUAGAUUAUUCCCAUUCAAUGAAUGUACACUUCAAAUAUUAUAUUUAUUCGCAUCUUUAAGAUGGAAUAUCAAGAUCGUUCUAAGAUCUUUCUCAGUAAGAUUAGCUUGCUUGUUUAUAUAAUCAAAAUUUUUCUCAUGAUUUUUUGUACUUUAUCAGAAUUAGUUUGCUUUUUAAUUCCAUUUUUGUAUUUUUCUCUCUUAUGCAUAGCAAUAAACAUAACUUUCAAAAAUAAUAGAACCUAUAUUAUCAACUAUUGUUCUCUUGAUUCAAUAGUGAUUAACAGAUUAGCAGGAUUAUUAUUAAACCCUGUAUUUCAUUGGAUCAAUUCACGCUGAAAAUCAAAAAUACUAUUCACAAUUUGUUACUAUUGCUAGUCCCAGAUUCCUCAUAACCAAAUAUUAGUUCCUAAUAUUAUUAUUUUUAAGUUGAAUUAUUCUUAAAGUAAGAUUCUUAAUGUAAUUCAUUAUUUGAGGUACCGUAGCGAUAAAGCACAAUGUUUUUUAUAAUGGAAUGAAAUAAAAUAAUUUGACAUAUCUACUGAGCUAAAUACGUAAUACUGUACAAGCAAUAAAGUUUAACAUUAAGAGAAGUAGUAAUUGUUCAUUAUGAAACAGUUUGCUCAAUCAGUUAGAAUUAAUCUUGUUUCUCGUUGUUGUAAUUUAUAGAGAAUCAAUCUUGUUUCUCGUUGUUGUAAUUUAUAGCGAUUUAUUCAUCUAAAAACUUUUAAGAAGUGAAUUUAUUUAUGAAUAACUUACCUAGAGGAAUGGUUUCACGGCCUUACAAACUUUUCAAUACUAUCCAUCAAAAUACAUAAAUGCUCAAUUUCAAUUAAAUGUAAUUUUUAAGUGAGUGUAAGUUGAAGCUCUGUUAAACCAUACAGUUAGUCAGCGUUUUAAAAUGUUUGACUUGUGCUUUUCCGAUGUGAAGAUGGACUGUUGAUAAAAAGGCUGUUUUUUGAGAUAAUAGUUAUAAGUAUUUUUGUAAUUUCAUAUUAUCUACCAUUCCAAUUGGACUUUAUACGUGUUUUGUAAAAUCUAGUGAGAGUUGUCCAUUAAAUAUCUAUUGAAGUGCA